UAGGGAAUCUUCGGCAAUGGACGAAAGUCUGACCGAGCAACGCCGCGUGAGUGAAGAAGGUUUUCGGAUCGUAAAACUCUGUUGUUAGAGAAGAACAAGGACGUUAGUAACUGAACGUCCCCUGACGGUAUCUAACCAGAAAGCCACGGCUAACUACGUGCCAGCAGCCGCGGUAAUACGUAGGUGGCAAGCGUUGUCCGGAUUUAUUGGGCGUAAAGCGAGCGCAGGCGGUUUCUUAAGUCUGAUGUGAAAGCCCCCGGCUCAACCGGGGAGGGUCAUUGGAAACUGGGAGACUUGAGUGCAGAAGAGGAGAGUGGAAUUCCAUGUGUAGCGGUGAAAUGCGUAGAUAUAUGGAGCAACACCAGUGGCGAAGGCGGCUCUCUGGUCUGUAACUGACGCUGAGGCUCGAAAGCGUGGGGAGCAAACAGG
rnacentral:rRNA from 1 species